rnacentral:rRNA from 1 species
AGUCGAGCGAACGGACGAGAAGCUUGCUUCUCUGAUGUUAGCGGCGGACGGGUGAGUAACACGUGGAUAACCUACCUAUAAGACUGGGAUAACUUCGGGAAACCGGAGCUAAUACCGGAUAAUAUUUUGAACCGCAUGGUUCAAAAGUGAAAGACGGUCUUGCUGUCACUUAUAGAUGGAUCCGCGCUGCAUUAGCUAGUUGGUAAGGUAACGGCUUACCAAGGCAACGAUGCAUAGCCGACCUGAGAGGGUGAUCGGCCACACUGGAACUGAGACACGGUCCAGACUCCUACGGGAGGCAGCAGUAGGGAAUCUUCCGCAAUGGGCGAAAGCCU